UACGUAGGUGGCAAGCGUUGUCCGGAAUUAUUGGGCGUAAAGCGCGCGCAGGCGGUCCUUUAAGUCUGAUGUGAAAGCCCACGGCUCAACCGUGGAGGGUCAUUGGAAACUGGGGGACUUGAGUGCAGAAGAGGAAAGCGGAAUUCCACGUGUAGCGGUGAAAUGCGUAGAGAUGUGGAGGAACACCAGUGGCGAAGGCGGCUUUCUGGUCUGUAACUGACGCUGAGGCGUGAAAGCGUGGGGAGCAAACAGG
rnacentral:rRNA from 1 species